UAUUUUGUUGGAGUUCUUCUUAAUUAAGUAAAUGUGGUUAUUUUCUUAGAUUUUCUUCUUUAUUUUGUUGAGAAAAUGUAGCAUGCUACGGUUUCAUUUAAUAAAAAGGUGAACUAAGCAGCAAAUUGAGACAGCCAGGCCUGGAGAGAGAAGGAAAGAAAAAAAAAAAACAACUUACUUAUUGUAGUACAUAUCCCAGAGAUUUUUUAUGUGAGUGAAUAUUGGCUAACAAUUCUCUCGAGGUGAUCUUCUUUUUCUCGAAGAUUAUUUUAUUCCGCUCCAGCCAAAUAACCCACCAUGACGUGG
rnacentral:lncRNA from 1 species